GUCCAAUAAAUAACUAAAAGUUUACAUUUUAACAAUUUUGUAAAACUGCUAUAUUUUGGGCCCAAAAAGGGGUCUUACUGGACCUACUCCUUUACUUGCAUAACUCCUCCUACUGAUUGAAUGCUAGGAAUUUAUUACUCUGCUAGCUGUUUGUACAUGUCUUGAUGGUGUGCAUGUGGUUUUUUCUUUCUAUUAUUUUUCCUCUUUUGGGUGAAAAAAUUUGUCCUUUUCGGGGUAUAAGUGGUUAAAUGAGUGGAGUGCGGGGGCAUCGAUUUGUCUAGUUUACAUUUUUUUUCUUUGCUGUUACACUACUGUUACAGUUCGAUGUUCUCUCACAUCGUGUUAAACUCUGCCACGUGCACUUUCUUUAUGUACCUGAAACAAGUCAGGAGCACGAAGUUCAAU
rnacentral:lncRNA from 1 species